GCAUUAAUGGGGUAGUGGUAACCUGGGUCGUUACCAUCACGAAAAUAAUCGACCCGCUGGAGGUUCGAUUCCCUCUUAAUGCA